UACGGAAGGCAGCAGUGGGGAAUAUUGCACAAUGGGCGCAAGCCUGAUGCAGCCAUGCCGCGUGUAUGAAGAAGGCCUUCGGGUUGUAAAGUACUUUCAGUCGUGAGGAAGGUGUUAAGGUUAAUAACCUUAGCAAUUGACGUUAGCGACAGAAGAAGCACCGGCUAACUCCGUGCCAGCAGCCGCGGUAAUACGGAGGGUGCGAGCGUUAAUCGGAAUUACUGGGCGUAAAGGGCACGCAGGCGGUUAAUUAAGUUGGAUGUGAAAUCCCCGGGCUUAACCUGGGAAUGGCAUUCAAGACUGGUUAGCUAGAGUCUUGUAGAGGGGGUAGAAUUCCAUGUGUAGCGGUGAAAUGCGUAGAGAUGUGGAGGAAUACCGGUGGGCGAAGGCGGCCCCUGGGACAAAGACUGACGCUCAUGUGCGAAAGCGUGGGGAGCGAAAC
rnacentral:rRNA from 1 species